GAUCAGCCUGCUGAACUGUCGGCUAGGGUUAUAGGUGGUUCUGAGUCCUUCCGGAAGCUGCCGAAUCUUAGAAGUCGCGCCACUGUUGUGGCGAUGGAAGAAGGCGAAGCUCUACAGAAACCAUUUUGGUUGAGGGAAGAGUGGUUUUAAAGUUAAUUUGGAAAGGAGCCGGCAAGCAACCUUCAGUCGGUGUGCGGUUUUUACAGUUGAACUGUUUCCAGCCGCUAAUUAUGAUUGUUUUAGCGGUUCGUCAUCUGAAAACUGCAUUCUGCACGGCGGUGGUGGGGGGAGGACGAGGAUGGAGAAGCCUGGGCGGACAUAUUUAUUAGCUGCGGUCCUAAGUCACGUGUGACAUUCUGUAUCCAGUCUAUCGGUUAUCCCAAGGAGAACGCCCUGCCGGAAUGGCCAAUCGCCUUGAGAUGUCCCCGCCCUAUUCGCCAUCUUAACAUAGGGCAUUCCCCACAGCUGCAGGCACCAGUGAAGCGUCUAAGGGACCAUCUUGGUUGAGGGCGGAAGUGAGGACUGU
rnacentral:lncRNA from 1 species